UCCGGUUUGUCACCGGCAGUCUCCCUUUCGGGUCGGUACCACCGGCAUGUCAAGCCCAGGUAAGGUUCUUCGCGUUGCAUCGAAUUAAACCACACGCUCCGCUGCUUGUGCGGGCCCCCGUCAAUUCCUUUGAGUUUUAAUCUUGCGACCGUACUCCCCAGGCGGGAUGCUUAAAGCGUUAGCGGCGCCACCGAAGAGCAAGCUCCCCAACGGCUAGCAUCCAUCGUUUACGGCGUGGACUAC
rnacentral:misc_RNA from 1 species